rnacentral:rRNA from 1 species
AGUGAACGCUGGCGGUAGGCCUAACACAUGCAAGUCGAACGGCAGCACAGUAAGAGCUUGCUCUUACGGGUGGCGAGUGGCGGACGGGUGAGGAAUACAUCGGAAUCUACUUUUUCGUGGGGGAUAACGUAGGGAAACUUACGCUAAUACCGCAUACGACCUACGGGUGAAAGCAGGGGAUCUUCGGACCUUGCGCGAUUGAAUGAGCCGAUGUCGGAUUAGCUAGUUGGCGGGGUAAAGGCCCACCAAGGCGACGAUCCGUAGCUGGUCUGAGAGGAUGAUAAGCCACACGGGAACUGAGACGCAGUCCGGACGCCUGCGGGAGGCAGCAGUGUGGCAUAUUGGACAAUGGGCGCAAGCCUGAUCCAGCCAUACCGCGUGGAUGAAGAACGCCUUCGGGUUGUACAGCCGUUUUGUUGGGAAAGAAAAGCAGCAGGUUAAUACCCCGCUGUUCUGACGCUACCCAAAGAAUAAGCACCGGCUAACUUCGUG